rnacentral:piRNA from 6 species
UAGCACUCUGGACUCUGAAUCCAGC